rnacentral:misc_RNA from 1 species
AAAACGCGAUAAUUUAAUAUGAAACGCAGGACUCAGUGAAUCAUCAAAACCUUGAACGCACUUGGCGCCCUCGAGUCUCCGGGCUCUGGGGCAUAUCUGUUUGAGUGUCAAUUAACCCCCCUCACAACACUCCAAUUCUUCACAGAAUUGGGUUCAAGCUUGUGGACGUUGGUCGCUGUGCAACUGCAAAGUUUGUACACCGGCUUAAGCAUAGUGGUGAGAGGCUCGCGAAUCGCUCCUCGAACACUGACUGGGUAAGUUUCCUCUGGAAACAAACAAAAUACUAAGUCAAAUGUUCGUGGGUUCAUAGCGUCUUGCGUAGCGCUUGCCCCGCAACUUAUCGAGGCUUCCGCAAGGAAACCGCGAUAACUUAACCUUUUGACCUCAAAUCAGGUAAGAA